AUGGUGUGGCUGCCCAAGGUGGUCCCCCUGUGGCUCCUCGGCCGCCCCUCCGGCUUCACCUUCGGCGACUACACCAUGUACUGGGUGCGCCAGAGCCCCGGGAAGGGGCUGGAAUGGGUCGCUGGGAUCUACAGCAAUGGUGGUAGAACCUACUAUGCGCCGUCGGUGAAGGGCCGGUUCAGCAUGGCCAGGGACAACGGGCAGAGCUCGGUGACGCUGCAGAUGAACAACCUCAGGGACGAGGAUUCCGCCACCUAUUUCUGUGCCAAACGUGUCAAUGCUGGUUUUGGUGGUGCUGAUGCCAUCGACCCCCUUU